GACGAACGCUGGCGGCGUGCCUAACACAUGCAAGUCGAACGGAGAUAUGAUUUCGGUUGUAUCUUAGUGGCGAACGGGUGAGUAACGCGUGAGCAACCUGACUCUUAGAGGGGGAUAGCACUCGGAAACGGGUGCUAAUACCGCAUAAGACCACGACAUGGCAUCAUGACGAGGUCAAAGGAGCAAUCCGCUGAGAGAGGGGCUCGCGUCCCAUUAGAUAGAUGGCGGGGUAACGGCCCACCAUGUCAACGAUGGGUAGCCGAGCUGAGAGGCUGAUCGGCCACACUGGAACUGAGACACGGGCCAGACUCCUACGGGAGGCAGCAGUGGGGAAUAUUGGGCAAUGGGCGCAAGCCUGACCCAGCAACGCCGCGUGAGGGAAGAAGGCUUUCGGGUUGUAAACCUCUGAACCAACGACGAAAGACCCGACAAGGGAGAUGACGGUAGUUGGGUAAUAGCACCGGCUAACUCCGUGCCAGCCGCCGCAGUAAGAC
rnacentral:rRNA from 1 species